UUUUUUUAGCUAAAAAUAUAAAAAAUUUUCUUAUAACUUUUUUUCUACUUUUUACUCCCUAUGGUAUCAGUGGAGAUGACAAAAUAAUCAAAUUGUCAUUAUUUCUUCUAUAAAAAAAACUUAGUAUAUUGCUGUUAUUUUGAAGAAUAUUUUUGGUAUAAAUUAUAUGAUAUGAACGGAACUCUGGUGAAGGGGAGCUUAAUGCAACAACUUAAAAUUUUAAAGGAGCAAAAUAUAGGUUUUUGAAAGUCUGGGAGGAAAAGUGAAAAUACGGGCAUUUACAAGGAAGUUUUAUGUAAUUUAACCAAUUUUAUAUGCAGAAUCUAGUCAAAUACUAAUGCAGACAAAGAAAAAAAAUUCAAGUGAACCUGAUUUUUUUAUAGGAAUAAUAUCAUAGAUGCCCUUUUAGAAACUAUUAAUUUCAUCAAUACCCUUCUAAAAUUGAUAAUAUCACAAAUACCCUCCAAUAUGUUAAAAAUUAUCAUAAAUACCCUUCAUUAGUUAAAAUCCGUUAAGGCCUGUAUGAAACGGAGUUAAAUUUUCAAAAUACCAUUUUUACCCUUUAUCUCUUAUUAAUAGUAGAAAUACUAAGAGGUAUUUCAAGAUAUUUUUUGUAAAUUUAAAUUUGAGUAUUUAAUAUAUACAUAUUAAAUUAAAUUAUUAAUAUAUAUUAAUUAUUAAAAAAUAUAAAAAUUAUAUUUUAUAUAUAGUAUGUUUUUAUCUUAUUUUGGUUUUGUUUUUUGGUUUCGGAUUUCGGUUCAGCUUCAGUUUAAAUAUAGACCAAACGUAUAACUGAAUUUAAAUAUGGAUAAUUCCUGAACAUUUUUUUUCAUUUAAAUUUUUAUAUAUAAUUAUUUAUUCAAUAAAAUAUAAAUAGAGCCACUAGAUUUGAUAAAAUUAUCAAAAAAUUAAAAAAUUCUCAUUUUUUUAUACACUGAAAUUAGUUAAUUUUUUAAAAAACUAAAAGUUAAUGGGAUAUCACCUAAAAAAAUAAAA
rnacentral:lncRNA from 1 species